ACGGCGAGUGAAGCGGGAAGAGCUCAUGUUGUAAAUCUGGAUGAGGAUUCCUCGUCCCGAAUUGUAGUCUAGAGAUGCGUGCUCAGCUACUCUCCAGGGCUAAGUCUGUUUGUGAAAGACAGCAUCAUGGACGGUGAUAAUCCGGUUCUUGCCUUGGAUGUUGUAGCGUCUUGAGCCGUCCUCAACGAGUCGAGUUGCUUGGGAUUGCAGCUCUAAGCGGGUGGUAAAUUCCAUCUAAAGCUAAAUAUUGGUGGGAGACCGAUAGCGAACAAGUACCGUGAGGGAAAGAUGAAAAGAACUUUGAAAAGAGAGUUAAAUAGUACCUGAAACUGCUGAAAGGGAAGCGAAUGAAGUCAGUGUUGCUCUUUGUUCUCUGCAUCCUCCCUGCGGGGAUUGUGUAUCGAGGACUUUGACCUUGUCAGGAUGAGUUCUCUGCCGCGGGAUAUGGUUUGUGAGCUGGAUGCUUCUGCUGAACUCACUCUCUCUGUCGUGGCUUGGACUGAGGUUCCAUCUUGCCGUUGCCUGCUUGUUACUCUCCUGUUGCUGUUUCUGUCCUACUGCUUGCAGUGUUCGGUUGCAGUGAUUGGACUGUGCAAGUUAUGCAUGC
rnacentral:rRNA from 1 species